GGCUCAGGAUGAAUGCUGGCGGCGUGCUUAACACAUGCAAGUCGAACGGGCUCAUAUUGAAACCUAGUGAUUUAUGAGUUAGUGGCGGACGGGUGAGUAACGCGUGGAAAACCUGCCGUAUACUGGGGGAUAACACUUAGAAAUAGGUGCUAAUACCGCAUAAGCGCACAGCUUCGCAUGAAGUGGUGUGAAAAACUCCGGUGGUAUACGAUGGUUCCGCGUCUGAUUAGCUUGUUGGCGGGGUAAUGGCUCACCAAGGCGACGAUCAGUAGCCGGCCUGAGAGGGUGAACGGCCACAUUGGGACUGAGACACGGCCCAAACUCCUACGGGAGGCAGCAGUGGGGAAUAUUGCACAAUGGGGGAAACCCUGAUGCAGCGACGCCGCGUGAGUGAAGAAGUAUUUCGGUAUGUAAAGCUCUAUCAGCAGGGAAGAAAUAGCGACCUUUGGGUCGCCAGACGGUACCUGAUUAAGAAGCCCCGGCUAACUACGUGCCAGCAGCCGCGGUA
rnacentral:rRNA from 1 species